AAUAAAGAGAAAAACUUGGGAAAAUUUAUUUAAAAAAAAAAAAAAAAAGGAAAUUGAAGAUAGGCCCCCCCAAUCCAAGUUUUAGUUUUGUAGCAAUCCAUACAAUACUAUAAAAUUAUAACGUACUAAAGUGUGUUGUUAAUUGCAAGAUUUUGUUUGCUUCUGUUUCUAAUGAUUCUAUACUUUCAAUGUUUUGUCAUGAAUUGAAAAUUUUUUAUUCUCGUGUUGUGUUCUUACUUCUUGAUUAUAGAUUAUAGAAGAAGAUAUUUAAUCUUCGAAUUCCAUAUAUGGCUCACAGGUUCACAAUACCCAUGAGAAAUAUGUCAAUUUUUCAUUCUCUGUGAGAUUUGGAUGUUCAAGCAAGAUCUUUUAUGCCAAUUAUUCAUUGUCUGGAAUUGAUUGACAACAUCUCUCUUUCCAUUCACACAAUAUAUAUAAAAUUUAAAGGGUGCUAAUUAAGU
rnacentral:misc_RNA from 1 species